CACCCGGUGGCACAGGGUGUGCGUCUGCUACUCUUGAUGAUUCCCAGCAGAAGAGCUUUGGCAGAAGGUCCCCGUUCGAUUCGGGGUCGGGUGA